UUACUUACCUGGCAGGGGAGAUACCAUGAUCGUGAAGGUGGUUUUUCCAGGAUGAGGCUCACCCUUCGCACUCCAGGUGUGCUGACUCCUGUGGUUUCCCCAAAUGUGGAAACUCCACUGCAUAAUGUGUGGUAGUGGGGACUGCAUUCACACUCUCCCCU